GAUGAACGCUGGCGGCGUGCUUAACACAUGCAAGUCGAACGGACAGGCCCGGCUUUUGUUGGGUGCUCGAUUGGCGAACGGGUGUGUAACACGCGUGUAACCUGCCCCUAUCAUAGGGAUAACUCCAGGAAACACCGGCGCUAACCCGGUAGGAGCUCUUGCUGCGUGUGGGUCGGUGGUAAGUGUCGGCGGUGGUGGAUGGACUCGCGGCUUAUCAGCUUGUUGGGGAGGUUGUGGCUUACCACGGCUUUGACGGGUAGCCGGCCUGAGAGGGUGAACGGCCUCAAUGGGACUGAGGUACGGCCCAGAAUCCUACGGGAGGCAACAGUAGGGAAUAUUGCGGAGUGAGGGGAAGCGUGGUGCAACGACGCCGCGAGCGUAAUGAGGGGGUUCGAGUUGUGAACCAAUUUGGAAUGUGCCGCGGAGUGCGUGACGGUAAUGGGUAAGAAAGCCACGGCUAACUACGUG
rnacentral:rRNA from 1 species